AAGAGCCCGGCCAACCAUCCCCAAGAGGCUAAGCGACGACUAGUUUUAAUGCGCAUGCGCAGUAUAUUUCUACAGUGUUUCUGGGCGGUGUUCUCGGAAGCCGAGAGGGACAAAGCGAGCAGGCGGUGGAAGAAAGGAAGAAGCCUUCGGAAGCUGUUCAACAUCAGAGCUCUCUUAACUUCUUGAGAAUUCCCUUCUUUAUGAGUUUGGGUGGGACAACAGAGCUCAUUAUAUCAGUCUGUGAGGAAUUCUAAGAUGAAAUGGGACUUAAAGCCAUACCUGAAUGAAGCAAGGAACACCCCUUGGCAAACAGGAUGAAAGGCAAGUGUUGGAGGUGAAGAAAGCUGGGCUGUCAAUACAAAUCAA